AUGUGCAACUUGGAUUUAUUCUGGAAUUUCUUAUAUGAAUACAUUGUAUUUGCAACAUUUCCAGUCCUUCCUCUCUCAUUCCAACUUCUCCCAUCUCCAACCCCUUCAACUUCAUAAUCUCUUUGAUAACUAUCACCUUAAGCAUGCAUGCUCUCUCUCUCUCUCUCUCUCUCUCUCUCUCUCUCUCUCUCUCUCUCUCUCACACACACACACACACACACACACACACACACACACACACAUGCAUGUGUGCCGUGUACCACACAUAAACUAUAUACCAAGUCUAUUUAGUGUUGUCCUGUGUUUAGAGUUGACCACUUUAGAUUGGAUUCCUUAUCAGGGAAUUUGCGCUUCUUGCAGUAAAACCUGACUUGCGUUGACAAGUGACAGGUGUGGUCAUUGUGCAGACCUUGUUCACACAACCAUAUUGUUGAGAUUUCGUGGAUGCAGAGACCCUGUCAUGUCUCUCACUGUGGGCAUCCUGGUCUUGUCUCUUACAGCCUCGACCCCUUCUUCUGCAGUGUUCUCUGAGCCUUAGAUAAAGGGCUUGUGUUGUAGAGGUGCCAACUAGGAAUGAGUACUUAUUCUCUGUAUUCCCAUCAGUUGUGAAUCUCUAGCCUUUGUGUGACGCAAAAGUAAGCUUCUUUAGUGAUGAGAACUACAUUUACCUGUGGGGAGGGGGAUAAAUAUUUAGUAUCCAGUUAGGAGUUAUAUUUUUUAUUUAGAAAAAUUACAGUAAUAAGCUAUCAUCUUGGGUCUAUGACCUUAUCAGCCCUGGCUUCUUGGUCAGAUUUACAGUACCAGACAUGAAUCCCUUUCUACUGCAUAGGCCUCAAGUCCAGUCAUACAGUUGUUGGCUACCCUGAGAUAUUUGUACCACUAUUCUGUCGCUUGGGUUAUAGUCUCCUAGAUUAGUAGAUAAGUGGGAUAAUGACUCAAGUAGCCGUUUGGAUCUGGCUGGAUUCACUUACAAUGUGCUUGAAAUCCAAGCAUGCUAUUGUAUGUAUCAGUAUUCACUUAUUUUUAUUACUGACUAAUAUUCCAUUUAUGGCUGAACCACAUUCUGUUUAUCUAUUUAGAUGUCUCUGAGAAUUUCAGUUCUUGCUGGUUUAUUCUGCUACACAUAAAAGAUGGUUUAAACGUUGAUAUGCAAAUCCUUACGUAGAUGUAUGUUUUUGUUUUUCUUUAGUAUCCUAAAGCAGAUUGGCUAGAUUAGAAGGUAUAUGCAACUUUAAUUUUUAUAAGUGAUCAAAUUGUUUGCAAAGUGGUUUUAACAUUUUAUAUUCCAACCAGCAGUGCAUAAAGCUUUUAGUCCACUGCAUCCUUGCCAACACUUGGGAAAGUGAAAGAGUUUUGACUUCUGACAUUAUAAUAACUGUAUGCUUAUUGUAUGUCUUAAUUGAUGUCUUAUUGUAGCCUAAACUGACAAUACCUGACAUGUAAAUGAUCCUGCUUACCUGGCCAUGUUUUAUCAUGCAUGUGCCCAUCUAUCAAGCCUAUUCAUACUUGGACCCAUUUUUAUUAGGUUACUUUCUUUUUCUGCUUUUCUCUCCUUGUCUUUUCUUUCUUGUGUUUUGUUAUUUGUGUUGUGAACUGUUUUAUUACAUUUUAAUUUUGUGUAUGCUUGAGCAGUGUGCAUGUUCCCAAGCACACAUGUAGAGAGCAAGGGAUGAUCUUCAGGAGUCUGUUCUCUCCUGUCUUCAUGUGAGUCCUAGGGAUUGAGCUCAGGUUGUUGGUUCACUGGAUAGCCAUCCUUCCCUGUGAGCCACGUUGUUGGCCUAAUCCAUGCAUUUUACUGUUAGAGCUUUGAGAGAAGACUUAGACUAAGAAAAAUAGCUAUUUAAAAAUUCUAUAUUGUUAAUGAAUGGCACGUGUGUACCACUACAGACACAUGUGUGCACACACAUGUGCACCUCCACACACAUGCACAUCUACACACACACACACACACACACACACACACACACAAUGAGCAUGUCCACAUACCAAAUGGAAAAUUCUGCAUUGUCAGUGGGUAGGUGAAAUGAUAGGCUAUCUGCAAAUUAUUUAGUACCAAACAGUGUGUUCAUAAUGUGAAUGAACCAAAUGUAUCUUACCAUCCCUGUCUAGUUGGAGAAGAAGGCUCUAAUGAGUGUGCAUAGCCUUUUCCUGUUCCCUAAUUAUGUGUUUGGUUGUGUGCCACUGAUAGGAAGUGUUACCAAAGAUUGGAAAAGGAAGAGUUCUGUGUGGGCUGCAAAGUCAAGGAAGCGUUCUUUAUAUGGGAGGUGAGAUCCAGUUGACAUUUGAAGAUUGGUAUUUGGCGGUGAGUGGGGAGGGUGUUCAAGGAUCCGCAAUAGCACAGUCUGACUGAGCACAUAGCACAGACAGAGCCUGUUUGGAGGCGAUUAAUGGUUUGGAGAACUUAGAUUAUAGAAAUCUGUGACUGCUGGAAUGAAGUAUUGGGCCUUAUUAGAGUUUGAAUAUGAUAUAUCCCCUGUAAACUCACAUGUUGAGGGCUUUGGACAUGCUAUUGGCACUAUAUGGGGGAGUUCUGAAGACUUUAGGAGGUGGAACAAGCUAGAAGAAGUAGGUCACUGGAGGCAUGCUCUUAAGGGUGUCACCUGUCCUUGGCCCCCUUUGAUUUCUUUGUCUCUGCUUUGACCUCCAUCACUUCAACAGCUCUUCUUCACCAAGCCCUUCCUAGCAUGAUGGCUGAAAUCUUAAGAACCUGAAGCACAACAAAUUGCUCCUCUAUUUUAAACUCUUUCCCUUGGGUAUCACACAAGACUGGCUGACAUAGUUUUAAUGGAACACAAGUCACCAUGGAUUUAUUUUUUACAUUGUUUAAUUUUUUAUUUGAUAUUUUCUUUAUUUACAUUUCAAAUGUUAUCCCCUUUCCUAGUUUCCUCUCCGAAAAUCCCCUAUCCCCUCCACCUCCUCCUUCUCCCCAACCCACCCACCCACUCCUGCUUCCUGGCCCUGGCAUUCUCCUAUACUGGGGCAUGGAACCUUCACAAGACCAAAGGCCUCUCCUCCCAUUGAUGACUGACUAGGCCAUCCUCUGCAACAUCUGCACCUAGAGACAUGAGUUUCACCAUGUGGCAUGAAAGGGUAGAAAGGUUAAUCUGGUAAGAGAACUAGGGACUAGCUAUGGAGGUAGAACACAGUGGAGCGGUGGCUAUAUGGCUAAUUCAGGCUGAAUAUGAGCUCCAGUGGUCAGGUUUUAGAUAAGGAAUAGAAGCUUACUGGUAGUUUAAAGAAAUAAAUGAUUGAGUGUCGUUUUACCUGCCCUCUAACCUACCUAUUUCUACGGUAACAAUAAACUAUGGUGGUUAUUGUCAACAUAAAAAUAGUUUUCCAAAGAUAAUUGGAAAGAGAAACAAC
rnacentral:lncRNA from 1 species